AUGCAUGCAUGCGCACGCUUCAUCGCGUACGUACGUACGUGCACGGUCGAUCAGUUUCUAGACACUCGAUCGUGGCUACAAGACCUAGCAGCUUACUUGCCGGGCACAAAGUUGGUGGCGAAGGCCCAGGCGUUGUUGUUGACGGGGUCGGCGAGGUGGUCGGCGAGGUUCUCGAGGGGGCCCUUGCCGGUGACGAUGGCCUGCACGAAGAAGCCGAACAUGGAGAACAUGGCGAGGCGGCCGUUCUUGAUCUCCUUCACCUUGAGCUCCGCGAACGCCUCGGGGUCGUCGGCGAGGCCCAGGGGGUCGAAGCUGCCGCCGGGGUAG
rnacentral:rRNA from 1 species